UACGUAGGGUGCGAGCGUUAAUCGGAAUUACUGGGCGUAAAGCGUGCGCAGGCGGUUAUUUAAGUCAGGUGUGAAAGCCCUGGGCUUAACCUAGGAAUUGCGCUUGAGACUGGAUAGCUUGGAGUGUGGCAGAGGGAGGUGGAAUUCCACGUGUAGCAGUGAAAUGCGUAGAGAUGCGGAGGAACACCGAUGGCGAAGGCAGCCCCCUGGGCUAACACUGACGCUCAGGCACGAAAGCGUGGGGAGCAAACAGG
rnacentral:rRNA from 1 species